AUUGAACGCUGGCGGCAGGCCUAACACAUGCAAGUCGAGCGAGCGGCGGACGGGUGAGUAAUGUCUGGGAAACUGCCUGAUGGAGGGGGAUAACUACUGGAAACGGUAGCUAAUACCGCAUACCAUCAGAUGUGCCCAGAUGGGAUUAGCUAGUAGGUGGGGUAACGGCUCACCUAGGCGACGAUCCCUAGCUGGUAUGAGAGGAUGACCAGCCACACGGGAACUGGGCAACGGUCCAGACUCCUCCGGGAGGCAGCAGUGGGGAAUAUUGCACAAUGGGCGCAAGCCUGAUGCAGCCAUGCCGGGUGUAGGAGGAGGGCCUUGGGGUGGUAAGGUACGUUCAGCGGGGAGGCGUUACCCGCAGAAGAAGCACCGGCUAACUCCGUGCCAGCAGCCGCGGUAAUAC
rnacentral:rRNA from 1 species